rnacentral:rRNA from 1 species
UGCCAGCAGCCGCGGUAAUACAGAGGGUGCAAGCGUUAAUCGGAGUUACUGGGCGUAAAGCGCGCGUAGGCGGGUAUAAAAGUCAGAUGUGAAAUCCCUAGGCUCAACCUAGGAACUGCAUUCGAUACUAUAUACCUAGAGUAUGGUAGAGGGAAGUGGAAUUUCCGGUGUAGCGGUGAAAUGCAUAGAUAUCGGAAGGAACAUCAGUGGCGAAGGCGACUUCCUGGACCAAUACUGACGCUGAGGUGCGAAAGCAUGGGUAGCAAACAGGAUUAGAUA